rnacentral:lncRNA from 1 species
AAGUGAGAUGAUCUUCUCAGGGUGCUAACUUCCUUAUAGAGAUCUCCUCUUUGAUGGCUGAAGUAGCUUCUUCUCAAAUCUCACAAACUCUCUAGAGAUGGAGAUGAAUUGAAAGAAGAGGGAAAAGGAAGCAGAGAGCAGGCUCGACUUAGAGAAGAAUUGAUCUCACUUUUUUUUUCAUGAGAUGUUUAUCGUAGACUCCAUGGCAUGCACAUGGGGAGAGAGUCCCUGAGAGUUGAGACUCUAGGGUUUCCUA